GAGUGGCGGACGGGUGAGUAACACGUGGGUAACCUGCCCAGAAGCAGGGGAUAACACCUGGAAACAGAUGCUAAUACCGUAUAACAGAGAAAACCGCCUGGUUUUCUUUUAAAAGAUGGCUCUGCUAUCACUUCUGGAUGGACCCGCGGCGCAUUAGCUAGUUGGUGAGGUAACGGCUCACCAAGGCGAUGAUGCGUAGCCGACCUGAGAGGGUAAUCGGCCACAUUGGGACUGAGACACGGCCCAGACUCCUACGGGAGGCAGCAGUAGGGAAUCUUCCACAAUGGACGCAAGUCUGAUGGAGCAACGCCGCGUGAGUGAAGAAGGGUUUCGGCUCGUAAAGCUCUGUUGUUAAAGAAGAACGUGGGUGAGAGUAACUGUUCACCCAGUGACGGUAUUUAACCAGAAAGCCACGGCUAACUACGUGCCAGCAGCCGCGGUAAUACGUAGGUGGCAAGCGUUAUCCGGAUUUAUUGGGCGUAAAGCGAGCGCAGGCGGUCUUUUAAGUCUAAUGUGAAAGCCUUCGGCUCAACCGAAGAAGUGCAUUGGAAACUGGGAGACUUGAGUGCAGAAGAGGACAGUGGAACUCCAUGUGUAGCGGUGAAAUGCGUAGAUAUAUGGAAGAACACCAGUGGCGAAGGCGGCUGUCUGGUCUGUAACUGACGCUGAGGCUCGAAAGCAUGGGUAGCGAACAGGAUUAGAUACCCUGGUAGUCCAUGCCGUAAACGAUGAUUACUAAGUGUUGGAGGGUUUCCGCCCUUCAGUGCUGCAGCUAACGCAUUAAGUAAUCCGCCUGGGGAGUACGACCGCAAGGUUGAAACUCAAAAGAAUUGACGGGGGCCCGCACAAGCGGUGGAGCAUGUGGUUUAAUUCGAAGCUACGCGAAGAACCUUACCAGGUCUUGACAUCUUCUGCCAACCUAAGAGAUUAGGCGUUCCCUUCGGGGACAGAAUGACAGGUGGUGCAUGGUUGUCGUCAGCUCGUGUCGUGAGAUGUUGGGUUAAGUCCCGCAACGAGCGCAACCCUUAUUACUAGUUGCCAGCAUUCAGUUGGGCACUCUAGUGAGACUGCCGGUGACAAACCGGAGGAAGGUGGGGACGACGUCAAAUCAUCAUGCCCCUUAUGACCUGGGCUACACACGUGCUACAAUGGAUGGUACAACGAGUUGCGAAACCGCGAGGUUUAGCUAAUCUCUUAAAACCAUUCUCAGUUCGGACUGUAGGCUGCAACUCGCCUACACGAAGUCGGAAUCGCUAGUAAUCGCGGAUCAGCAUGCCGCGGUGAAUACGUUCCCGGGCCUUGUACACACCGCCCGUCACACCAUGAGAGUUUGUAACACCCAAAGCCGGUGGGGUAACCUUUUAGGAGCUAGCC
rnacentral:rRNA from 1 species